rnacentral:rRNA from 1 species
UACGUAGGUGGCGAGCGUUGUCCGGAUUUACUGGGCGUAAAGCGCGCGCAGGCGGACUGAUCAGUCUGGGGUGAAAUCUCACGGCUCAACUGUGAGCGGUCCCUGGAUACUGUCAGCCUUGAGAUGUCUAGAGGAGAGCGGAAUUCCCGGUGUAGUGGUGGAAUGCGUAGAUAUCGGGAGGAACACCGGUGGCGAAGGCGGCGUUCUGGACUGCAACUGACACUGAUGGACGAAAGCCAGGGGAGCAAACGGG